rnacentral:lncRNA from 11 species
GGACCUUUAUCGCCGUCAUCACGUGGAAGAGCCGGGCGGCGGCAAAGAAGGCGGCCUGACGGGACCUUGACCGCCCUGUUGACGUUUUGCUCUUCACGGACCGAGGGGACGGAGCGCUCGCUGGGCAUUCUCCCGUCCCUUUUGCACGUGUGUCCCUUUGCACCCUGCGGCAACAACAACAACAACAACAACAUGCAGGCCGUGCUGAGUGUUGCUGCAGUCUUGUGACAACCCAUGACUUGAACUAAAGGCUUUUGGAUCGCAGUCCAGCAGAGUCGGCUUCCAAAGUCAAUCCGGGGGAAUCCGUGUCAAAAGUGGUUGCGAUGACAAUAAAUAAGCGAGAGCCGGGAGCCCAUGCGGAGGAGCCACCGGCGGGCCCCGCUCAUGCACCGCAUCAUGUGGCGCAUCCACGAGCAGUGGCAGCUCCUGGGCUUCUUCGAGAUCAACCGCGACCACGAGUUCUACCCGCUGACCUGCAUGCUCAAGCAAGGCCUCCGGGCCUCCCUCCAGCACGCCAUGGACAACUGGUCAUACCUGGUGAGGGUUGCGCCUGGCCUGGAAGCGUCAUGGCCUUUUUAGCUGCCGCGUCACACGUGUUCAGAGAGGAUUUGAUGCUGGUGUGUAGGCAUGUCUGUAUGCAGGGCUCGGAUGCCACCACAAGAGGGCAGCAUAGAGAUCGGAAAGAUUGGAUUUGGCCUCUGUUUGUAUGUAUGCAGGACUCGGAUGCAACCACAAGAGGGCAGCAUGUAGAUAGAGAUUUUGGCCUCUAGGUAUGUAUGUAUAUAUGUAUGUAUGUAUGUAUGCAUGCAGGGCGCGGAUGCCACCAGAAGAGGGCAGCAUGUAGAUAGAGAUUUUGGCCCCUAGGUAUGUAUGUAUGUAUGUACGUAUGCAUGUAUGCAGGGCGCUGAUGCCACCAGAAGAGGGCAGCAUGUAGAUAGAGAUUUUGGCCUCUAGGUAUGUAUGUAUGUAUGUACGUAUGCAUGUAUGCAGGGCGCUGAUGCCACCAGAAGAGGGCAGCAUGUAGAUAGAGAUUUUGGCCUCUAGGUAUGUAUGUAUGUAUGUACGUAUGCAUGUAUGCAGGGCGCUGAUGCCACCAGAAGAGGGCAGCAUGUAGAUAGAGAUUUUGGCCUCUAGGUAUGUAUGUAUGUAUGUAUGUAUGUAUGCAUGCAGGGCGCGGAUGCCACCAGAAGAGGGCAGCAUGUAGAUAGAGAUUUUGGCCCCUAGGUAUGUAUGUAUGUAUGUAUGUAUGUAUGUAUGCAUGCUGGGCGCGGAUGCCACCAGAAGAGGGCAGCAUGUAGAUAGAGAUUUUGGC